ensembl:snRNA U1 U1 spliceosomal RNA
AUACUUACCUGGCAGGGGAGAUACCAUGAUCACGAAGGUGGUUUUCCCAGGGCGAGGCUUAUCCAUUGCACUCCGGAUGUACUGACCCCUGUGAUUUCCCCAAAUGUGGGAAACUUGACUGCAUAAUUUGUGGUAGUGGGGGACUGCGCCCCUG